GUGGCUCAGUGGUAGAGCGCUUGCCUAGCAUGCAUGAGGCACUGGGUUCAAUCCCUGGC
rnacentral:tRNA from 1 species